UCGCACAAAUUUUCCACUCACUAGACUGCUUCCCAACGUGAUACGAAGAGUACUUCCCAGUCAUCAAUUUGGCAGCUGUACAGCUUCCCUCGGUUCAGGAAGUCACAGGUCCAGCAACAGUGAACGAGUUCGCGCGCCGCGAUGCAUCGACAACCGUCCCGUCAAGUGCACUUUCAUCAAGGGUUAUUUUUCAGUUGAAGGAGAGAGAGCGUCAAAUGAGGUGAAAUUUCGCAGUGUUGGGCUGAAUAUUAAUUACUGGGAAAGAGGAAAAUUCAACCCGGUUUAGUUGGGUGAAAACGGUGCAAUUUUAGGAAAGUGCUGCAGAAUUACACAGUGUUGAACGAUGAAAAUGAAGGGUAUUCAAAAGCAGCAGAAGCAGCAACAGCAUCAGGAACAUGGAAUAGGUCAGGUUAAACAGCAGGAGCACGUGGUGGAUACCGGACCUGCUGACUUUGAAACCGCGAUUGCGGCCACCGGUUAUGGAAAGUUCAAUUACCUGCUUCUGCUGGUGGCCAUGCCCUGCUGUAUCGGAACGGUCUUUGAGACGACCACGAUGUCGUACGUGCUGCCCAGUGCCGAGUGUGACCUGCGGCUGUCCCUGGUAGACAAGGGCACCCUGAAUGCGGUCACCUACGGGGGAAUGAUCACUUCGGCCUUCCUCUGGGGCUUCCUGUCGGACACGUACGGCCGGAAGCGGCUGCUGGUGUACGGUUUCCUGCUGGAUGCCACCUUCAACGUGCUGUGCGCCACCAGCCAGUCCGUGGUGGCCAUCAUGAUUUUCAAAUUUAUGGGUGGAUUUAUCAUUUGCGGCCCGUUCGCGGUUCUGAUGGCGUAUCUGUCCGAGUUCCACAGCCUGCAGCACCGGUCCCGGGUCAUGAUGACGGUCGGGAUCUUCUACAGCAUCGCGAACGUGCUGCUGCCCUCGCUGGCCUGGGCCAUUAUUCCGCAGGCCGGUUGGGACUUUACGCUGCUCGACGGCAAGCUGGCAAUCCACUCGUGGCAAAUCUUUUUGGCCGUUUGCUGUCUGCCCAGUCUGCUCAGUGGAGCCUGCUGCAUGUUCUUUCCGGAGAGUCCCAAGUUCCUGAUGGCCAAGGGUCGCAACGACCAGGCCAUGGCCGUCUUCCGGACGCUGUAUGCACUCAACACAGGGCGCUCCCGUGGGGAUUAUCCGAUCAAAGAGAUAGUGGACGAAACCGCGAUCAGUAGUGAUGAAACUAUUCAAAAGGACCGUAAGGAGGUGCCCCAAAAAGCACCAACAAUUUCCGGAUUGCGCAGCUUCCAGGAACAGAUGAAGUCCAUGUUUGGCAAAACUCAUUUGAAGAAUUCUUUGAUGGCGUACAGCAUUCAGUUUGGAAUUUUGUUUGGCUUAAACACCUUCCGGCUGUGGGUUCCUCAGCUGUUUACCAUCAUCCAGGAGUACGAGCUGGAUCCGACGACCUUCGCCACCGACGGCUCCCUGUGCGACAUGCUGGCCUACAAGGUGAACAAGUCGGCCGUCCUGCAGGAGCUGGAGCGCCCGUACGUUGCCGUGGCCCCUUCCAGCCCGCUGGAUACGGAGGAACUGGUCUGCCAACCGACAACUCAGGGGGACAUCUAUCUGAAUCCAUUAAUCAUUGGAUGCGUCGGAGUUGCAGCCUACCUAGUCACAACGGUCCUGAUUAACGCCAUUGGCAAUCGGAAUUUGUUGGUGUACGGUCUGUUCACGUCCGGCUGUUGCGGUUUGCUGCUGUACUGGAGCAAGAGUUCGACCGUCGUGCUGGUGCUGUCGGCGACGUACAUCACCAUCGCAAGCAUCUCGUCAACGGGGCUGGUCGGUUCUGUUGUGGCCAUGUUUCCCACGUCAAUGCGAACGAUGGUCGUUUCACUCACGAUGAUGUUUGGCCGGACGGGAUCCAUCAUCGGCAACGUGCUGUUCCCGCACCUGAUGGCGCUGGGAUGCUGGCCGCCGUUCCUCAUGAUCGGAAGCAUCCACAUAGUGGUAGCACUUAUAUCAACAACUCUGCCACGGACAGUGAAAAAGCCUCUGCAGUAGUUUUUACUUUAUUUUUAUGACUAACUUCCAUCCACCCCGGAAUUCGAACUGACGACCUUUGGAUUGUUAGUCCAACUGCCUACCAGCGACUCCACCGAGGCAGGACCCAGGGAGACGACUCCUACAACUGGAUUGAGCUAACGACCUACCCGAGCAGACGGAAAUCACGUAACCAUUUACUUCUCCGUCCGAUGGAAGGCGUGAUCAGACAAAUCUCGUCUCAAAGAAUGCCACCGGGACCUUUUGGGAUCGAACCCAGGCCGACUGGGUGAGAGGCAACCACGCUUACCCCUACACCGCGGUUCCCGGCAGGCAGUAGAAGCUGAAUAUAUUAUUGACAUGAAUGUAGAUUUAAAAUUUUUCUUCAUUGUUCAGCUUUCAAAACUUCUUUGUAAAUUUGGUUUUUGAAAUAUCUUCUGGUGAUAACAGGUGCGUGAACAUUGCGUGGUAUGCAACGUUG